rnacentral:rRNA from 1 species
UUUUAUAGUAAAGUAUUUAUUUGAGUAGUAGUAGUGAGUAGUGAACUUARAGAAUUUGGCGGUAUGUUAAUCUGUUUAGAGGAACCUGUCCYGUAAUCGAUAAUCCCCGKAAAUUUAACCUANNCUUGWAUAUUCAGCUUGUAURUCGCUGUCGUAAGAUUAUUUUUUGAGAAAUUUUUCAGGAAUAAGUUUUUAUUUAUGUCAAGUCAAGGUGCAGUAAAUGUCUAGGGUUGAGAUGGGUUACAAUNUAGGAAUAUAUACGGARAUAUGUUUGUAAGRCUUAUUGAAGGUGGAUUURAUUGUAAUAUGAAAUUAAUUAUUUAAUAUGGAAAAGUACUAAUAUAUGC